rnacentral:rRNA from 1 species
GAUGAACGCUAGCGGCAGGCUUAAUACAUGCAAGUCGUGGGGCAGCAUGAAUGUAGCAAUACAUUUGAUGGCGACCGGCAAACGGGUGCGGAACACGUACACAACCUUCCUAUAAGUGGGGAAUAGCCCAGAGAAAUUUGGAUUAAUACCCCGUAACAUAACGAUGUGGCAUCACAUUGUUAUUAUAGCUUCGGCGCUUAUUGAUGGGUGUGCGGCUGAUUAGAUAGUUGGCGGGGUAACGACCCACCAAGUCUACGAUCAGUAGCUGAUGUGAGAGCAUGAUCAGCCACACGGGCACUGAGACACGGGCCCGACUCCUACGGGAGGCAGCAGUAAGGAAUAUUGGUCAAUGGACGCAAGUCUGAACCAGCCAUGCCGCGUGAAGGAUUAAGGUCCUCUGGAUUGUAAACUUCUUUUAUCUGGGACGAAAAAAGGCUUUUCUAAGUCACUUGACGGUACCAGAUGAAUAAGCACCGGCUAACUCCGCGCCAGCCGCCGCCGUAAAAC